AAAAUGCGAUAAGUAAUGUGAAUUGCAGAAUUCAGUGAAUCAUCGAAUCUUCGAACGCACAUUGCGCCCGCCAGUAUUCUGGCGGGCAUGCCUGUUCGAGCGUCAUUUCAACCCUCAAGCCCCCGGGUUUGGUGUUGGGGAUCGGGCUGCGGUUCUACCGCGUCCCGGCCCCGAAAUCUAGUGGCGGUCUCGCUGCAGCCUCCAUUGCGUAGUAGCUAACACCUCGCAACUGGAACGCGGCGCGGCCAAGCCGUUAAACCCCCAACUUCUGAAUGUUGACCUCGGAUCAGGUAGGAAUACCCGCUGAACUUAAGC
rnacentral:misc_RNA from 1 species